ACGUAAGAAGGCGGGGUACGGGGGUAUGGGUGAUUGGUUGAGCCUACUUGAGUGCGUGACGCCACACCGACCAAUUGUGAAACUCAGCUUCAGCUUGAUCACCAAAUUAAUUGGGAAAUAAAAGCCUCACCAGCUACCUACCAAUCUAUUUGAGUUUAACUGUCCAAUCGUUAAAAUAACGAGCACACUAAUUGUUAUUUUUACCUUUCCACAAACGGUCUGGUAUGUGUUGCUUUAUGUAAGAAAGUUAACCCAAAUGUAUCAAAGAAUAGGUAAUGCAUCCACGAUUAGUUAGUGUGUACUACCUGGCCAGUGAACUCGCUAACUAGCUAUCCUCCUAAAUGCGGUGGUCAGUGGAUAAACUAAAUUGAAAAUAUUUGUCGCCAGUUAUUGUUGCCGAUGGUGUAAUUAUGUCUAACCAAUUAUUUAUUUACACUGGAUGACCGUUAUGGGGGCGCUGUGUUGAAGCCUCCGUGCCUCCAUCUUGGCACUAACUGACGUUGUAGAAAAAUAUGUUGGAAGCUGUAGAAAUGCAUUUCUUAAUAUCUACAUUCGUUUUUGCCACAUUUAUUCAUACUUGCAUACUUUUAAAUUAUUGCAAGGAAACACGCAGGGAGUAGGCCUCGAACCCUCGACCUACUAGCCCGAAUUCCAGCGCGCUAUCGACUGUGCUCCAAAAGCAUGCUCGAGCUGCAGAGUCGUUACAUUAUAUUAUGUGCACUAAACAUUCAUUUAAAGUAUUAUAUUUUUAGAUUACUGUCCUCAUUACAACAACAAAAAUACUUAAAUACAUGUACUUUGUCCUUAACUUUUAAUUGAAAUACUGUGGAACUCAAUGUUUUAAUAUGGAGGGGAGUGACAAUGUAGCCGAACGGUGGCUUCAAAGCCUCUCAAUGGCCAAUACAUAGCAUUUACAAUCUUAAGGUUUAUAUACAUUAUUGUGUCUAAUCUUUUGGCUAGAUAGCGGUCUUUUGGCGUUCACAAUUAUCUACUUACUGCAUGGCCAAUAUGCGAGCUAGCUACGAUUCAGUCAGUAGCUAUCCUUCUAAAUGAGGUGGUCACUGGAUAAACAAGCUAUGAGUUGAACAUAUGUGGCUGAAAACGAACUAGUAGCUGGUUUUGUUACCCAUGGUGGAAGAUCUAACCCGCUGAUCCUGAAGCAUAUUUCCCUAUGAACUCGCAACGCAAAUCUAGCUAACGUCGCGAAUUAUCAUUUGUUAGCUAGCUGAGUUGUUUUAUUAGAAAACGGCUGAUAUGAAUCAAACACUGUAGCUCAUCGGUGACAAUGUUCUUGGGGCACGGGAAUGUCAGAUUCGCAAUUCAAUUGGAUGUUUAUUGUCAUUGAAGUUGGUGGCUACUACUGGGGCCUGUUGCACAAAAGUAGAAUUAAGACAUCCGGGAUAAAUGACUCAGCUGAGCUCAAUGAAGCCAAAACAUGUGCGUCCAGGCUUAAUUGGUUGCACAAAGACCAAGCCAGGAUGAGCAGACACGGAUUCAUUAAGCCAGGUGAAACCAAUCCUGGAUAGGUGCGCGCUCACGGCUCACUCAAAUAGACCCUGCCACAGAUCACAGAUUAACUGAUUUACCAUGGCAACUAGAGCCGCGUAUUUUUCCCCGUUGGAAGCACAAAUCCUCAUGGAGGCAUACGAGGAGGUAAAAGAUAUAAUUAAGAAGAAAGGCAACACCGCCACAGUGAUAAAGCAAAGAGAAAAAGCGUGGCAAAGUAUUGCAGACCGCCUGAAUGCGUAAGUAGUGCACAAUUACACACUCACCGCUCCGCUGAAACAUCACAAUUACAAUUCAAAUAUUUAAUUCACAUCUCCAAAAAUGCAGUUGUACUGUAAUUAUGAAACGGUUAAAUUUUUAAUUGAAAUGCACUGCAGAUAUGAGUGAUUGUGUAAAGUAACUCCAUCACACUGUAUAAAGCUAUGAUACAUUUUUUGAUAUUUUUACUGAAAACAAGACAAAAAUACCAAGUAAUUUUUUGCAGUGUGACUCCAUUAAAUGUGUGUGUGUGUGUGUGUGUGUGUGUGUGUGUGUGUGUGUGUAGAUUAAACAUGAAUGGGCCAAAACGGACAUGGCAGCAGGUCAAAAUCAAAUACAAGAACAUUCUGCAGAAUGCAGUGAAAAAGAAUACCCACAGACAAGGCACGGGUGGUGGGUCACCAAAGGCUGACCUUACCCCAGCAGAGGACAUGGCCUUGGAGCUAAAUAAAGGCAGGCCCGUCUUAGAGGGGAUCCCUGGGGGAAAGAGACGAGCAUAGGUUCCUCCCAAGAUGCCACCCGCUUCAUUCAAGUGCCUGGCAGCACUGUGUUCCUGUUAGAGCCACCAGCACAAGCACCAGACGAUGCUGAUCCAGGUGAAGGCCCCAGUGCAGCAGCAACAGCACAUGAUGGAGACGAUGAUGAGGAGGAGACCAUCUCUCUGGAUUCCAGAAGGCAUGAGGACCCAGAUGCUAUACAGUGGGAAAACCAGCCUGGCAACAUAGUGCGUAUUAAUAAAAGGACACCACAUCCUGCCAAAUUCCAGCUGCGCUAAUUGUAUUGUGUUCACAGAGCUCACAAGCUAUCAGAAAGUUGUAUGGCAACCACCUCCGGCGCCAAAUAGAACUGGCAGACAUAGACAUUCAGUACAAGAAGAAAAAGAUGGAAAAUCUUGCACUGGAGUCCGAAAUAAAAAAGAGGACAAUUAGGAAACUGGACCUUGAAAUAAAAAAACUUGAGAGGGAGCUCCAAGAAGAUGACACAGCUCAAAAUAAAAAAAUUAGCAAUCAGUACAACCAAGUCAUCGUUAUAAGGCAUCGCCCUCUUUUGCCCACCCCCAGCACCAGGUGUGGCCACUAGCCUAUAUGAAGGCCCAAAAUUGUGUGUUCCUUUCUGCUCUGACAAUGGCAUGCCCAUUCGUGCGAGAUGUGGUGGAUGAAGAAGCACUUGUGCUGAGGAGAGCCUUCAGGCGAGAAAGGGUCUUCAGGGACCGGUUGGACCCACUGGCCUUCCCUGAUGACCAUCUAUAUGAAAGAUACAGGUUUUCUGCAGAUGGCAUCAGGUAUCUAUGCAGACUACUGGGUCCCAGGAUUAAGCACCGCACUGCACGGAGCCAUGCACUGUGUGUGGAGCAAAUGGUUUGUGUGGCCUUGCGCUUUUUUGCUAGUGGAGCCUUCCUGUACUCAGUGGGGGAUGCUGAACAAGGCCACAAUUUGCCGCACAAUAAGGAGUGUGUGUCUGGCUAUCAAAGCAUUAGCAGAUGUCUUCAUCUCCUUCCUGGCCACAGAAGACUCUGUGACAUCAAAGAGGAGUUCUAUAGGAUUGCAGAUGGUCUGCAAUGCUGACUGUGUGAUCAGCAAUGUUGUGGCAAAAUGGCCUGGCUCAGUCCAUGACUCCAGAAUCUUUCGGGCCUCUGAAAUCUAUCAGUGCCUAUCACAAGGUGAAUUCUCUGGUGUGUUGCUGGGAGACAGGGGUAUGGCUGCCAGCCUUUUCUCCUGACACCUUUCACAGACCCCAGGAAGCACAGCAGGCCUACAACCAUGCCCAUGCCAGGACCAGGGCCAGAGUUGAAAUGACCUUUGGCCUCCUGAAGGCACGCUUUCACUGCCUUCACAAAUUAAGGGUCAGCCCUGUUAGGGCAUGUGAUAUUACUGUGGCUUGUGCUGUCCUCCACAAUGUGGCCUGCCUGAGGAAGGAGAGGGCCCCCAGAGUGCCACCAGCCAUGGACUGGGACAAUCCGGCAAUCUUCCCUGAUGACGACAGUGGUCGGCUGCUGAGGGACCAAUAUGUGUUGAAUUAUUUUAGUUAGUAUGUGUGCUUUCAAUUUUGGUUAAAUAUGUCCUGCGGUGGCAGAGGAAUUUGGUUUU